CGUCAAUGAAGCACAUAAAUCGAGUUUAGAGAGAUGUCGAGCCAUGAUACAGCAUCCCAGAAAAUGACGAAUGAAUCGAUCUUUGUGCGAGCCUUUGUCCCCCUGCACAGCCAGGUAUAUACCACCACGUGAUCGCAGCCGGUGUGUGUACAGGUGGCGGGUACGUAGGGAGGCACGUCUCGCUCGUUAAGGAAAUACCGGUCGCCGCCGAUUUUUUCCGAGCUCCGACCGACGCGAUUGGCCGAGCGGCAAAACCAGCCCUUCUAGAACUUGCCAGAGCGGCCGCUGCUCUUGUUGUUGUUAUUGUUGUUAUUGCACGUAAGAAGAGACGCGAGCAAAACAAAUCGGUAACACUGCUGCAACGUAGCUCGGAUUCGUAUAUAAGGCCGAGCCCGGCCAGGAAUCGACAGACUGUUCUCUCAACGAGCACCAGUGACCAAACCCUCAUUCAACAUGUUCAAGCUGUUCUUGUUCGCCGCCAUCCUGGCCUUCGCCGCUGCCAACCCCGCCCCAGCCCCAGCCCCGGGACCCGAGCCCAAGCCCGGUGCGAUCCUCGCCGCUCCCUACAGCAGCUACAUCGCCCCGAUCACCACCUACAACUCGGCCUACUACCCAUACGCCUACGGAGCUGCCUACAACGCCCUGCCCUACUACAGGAGCUUUUACUACUAGACCUCUCAGCAGCCGUCUCCUAGUAAUGCGGGCUGAAGAUCGGGGGAGAAGAUCUGCGUGGCACUCGUAAGCUGGCCCCGAUGCUCCUGGCACAUCUUUGGGAGCUACGGUGCCGCCUUAGGAGCCAAGGAUCUCAUCUUUUUCCGGAUGUGUCAAAAGCACACUUUUCCAAGUCACAACUUCACAUGCCUUUGGUGUACCUCAUUUCGAAAUCGAUCAGCAAUAAAUUUGCAUUCAGCUAAUGUUAUGAAA